rnacentral:misc_RNA from 1 species
ACAAACUUGGUCAUUUAGAGGAAGUAAAAGUCGUAACAAGGUUUCCGUAGGUGAACCUGCGGAAGGAUCAUUAACAAAUCCGGUGUCCUGUUUCAUGCAUUGCAUGUCUCAGUCACACAUGUUCCAUGUGCAUGUUCACUCUGCAUGUGAUUACAUUUCUGCUUGAUUGUCUGAUUGUGACUAUUAAAAUGAUAUAAGAAUGACUUUUAACAAUGGAUCUCUAGGCUCUUGCAUCGAUGACGAACUCAGCCAUUUAGAGGAAGUAAAAGUCGUAACAAGGUUUCCGUAGGUGAACCUGCGGAAGGAUCAUUAACAAAUCCGGUGUCCUGUUUCAUGCAUUGCAUGUCUCAGUCACACAUGUUCCAUGUGCAUGUUCACUCUGCAUGUGAUUACAUUUCUGCUUGAUUGUCUGAUUGUGACUAUUAAAAUGAUAUAAGAAUGACUUUUAACAAUGGAUCUCUAGGCUCUUGCAUCGAUGAAGAACGCAGC